rnacentral:sRNA from 1 species
AAGAGAAUUGGGUGGACAGCAGGACCAUCUACGUGGGACACAGGGAGCCACCUCCGGGCGCAGAGGCCUACAUCCCACAGAGAUACCCAGACAACAGGAUCGUCUCGUCCAAGUACACAUUUUGGAACUUUAUACCCAAGAAUUUAUUUGAACAAUUCAGAAGAGUAGCCAACUUUUAUUUCCUUAUCAUAUUUCUGGUGCAGUUGAUUAUUGAUACACCCACAAGCCCAGUGACAAGCGGACUUCCACUCUUCUUUGUCAUUACUGUGACGGCUAUCAAACAGGGUUAUGAAGACUGGCUUCGACAUAAAGCGGACAAUGCCAUGAACCAGUGUCCUGUUCAUUUCAUUCAGCACGGCAAGCUCGUUCGGAAACAAAGUCGAAAGCUGCGAGUUGGGGACAUUGUCAUGGUCAAGGAGGACGAGACCUUUCCCUGCGACUUGAUCUUCCUUUCCAGCAACCGGGGAGAUGGGACAUGCCACGUCACCACCGCCAGCUUGGAUGGAGAAUCCAGCCAUAAAACGCAUUACGCGGUCCAGGACACCAAAGGCUUCCACACAGAGGAGGAUAUCGGCAGACUUCACGCCACCAUCGAGUGUGAGCAGCCCCAGCCCGACCUCUACAAGUUUGUGGGUCGCAUCAACGUUUACAGUGACCUGAAUGACCCCGUGGUGAGGCCCUUAGGAUCGGAAAACUUGCUGCUUAGAGGAGCUACACUGAAGAACACUGAGAAAAUCUUUGGUGUGGCUAUUUACACGGGAAUGGAAACCAAGAUGGCAUUAAAUUAUCAAUCAAAAUCUCAGAAGCGAUCUGCCGUGGAAAAAUCGAUGAAUGCGUUCCUCAUUGUGUAUCUCUGCAUUCUGAUCAGCAAAGCCCUGAUAAACACUGUGCUGAAAUACGUGUGGCAGAGUGAGCCCUUUCGGGAUGAGCCGUGGUAUAAUCAGAAAACGGAGUCGGAAAGGCAGAGGAAUCUGUUCCUCAAGGCAUUCACGGACUUCCUGGCCUUCAUGGUCCUCUUUAACUACAUCAUCCCUGUGUCCAUGUACGUCACGGUCGAGAUGCAGAAGUUCCUCGGCUCUUACUUCAUCACCUGGGACGAAGACAUGUUUGACGAGGAGACUGGCGAGGGGCCUCUGGUGAACACGUCGGACCUCAAUGAAGAGCUGGGACAGGUGGAGUACAUCUUCACAGACAAGACCGGCACCCUCACGGAAAACAACAUGGAGUUCAAGGAGUGCUGCAUCGAAGGCCACGUCUACGUGCCCCACGUCAUCUGCAACGGGCAGGUCCUCCCAGAGUCCUCAGGAAUCGACAUGAUUGACUCGUCCCCCAGCGUCAACGGGAGGGAGCGCGAGGAGCUGUUUUUCCGGGCCCUCUGUCUCUGCCACACCGUCCAGGUGAAAGACGAUGACAGCGUAGACGGCCCCAGGAAAUCGCCGGACGGGGGGAAAUCCUGUGUGUACAUCUCAUCCUCGCCCGACGAGGUGGCGCUGGUCGAAGGUGUCCAGAGACUUGGCUUUACCUACCUAAGGCUGAAGGACAAUUACAUGGAGAUGUUAAACAGGGAGAACCACAUCGAAAGGUUUGAAUUGCUGGAAAUUUUGAGUUUUGACUCAGUCAGAAGGAGAAUGAGUGUAAUUGUAAAAUCUGCUACAGGAGAAAUUUAUCUGUUUUGCAAAGGAGCGGAUUCUUCGAUAUUCCCCCGAGUGAUAGAAGGCAAAGUUGACCAGAUCCGAGCCAGAGUGGAGCGUAACGCAGUGGAGGGGCUCCGAACUUUGUGUGUUGCUUAUAAAAGGCUGAUCCAAGAAGAAUAUGAAGGCAUUUGUAAGCUGCUGCAGGCUGCCAAAGUGGCCCUUCAAGAUCGAGAGAAAAAGUUAGCAGAAGCCUAUGAGCAAAUAGAGAAAGAUCUUACUCUGCUUGGUGCUACAGCUGUUGAGGACCGGCUGCAGGAGAAAGCUGCGGACACCAUCGAGGCCCUGCAGAAGGCCGGGAUCAAGGUCUGGGUUCUCACGGGAGACAAGAUGGAGACGGCCGCGGCCACGUGCUACGCCUGCAAGCUCUUCCGCAGGAACACGCAGCUGCUGGAGCUGACCACCAAGAGGAUCGAGGAGCAGAGCCUGCACGACGUCCUGUUCGAGCUGAGCAAGACGGUCCUGCGCCACAGCGGGACCCUGACCAGAGACAACCUCUCCGGACUUUCAGCAGAUAUGCAGGACUACGGUUUAAUUAUCGACGGAGCUGCACUGUCUCUGAUAAUGAAGCCUCGAGAAGACGGGAGUUCCGGCAACUACAGAGAGCUCUUCCUGGAAAUCUGCCGGAGCUGCAGCGCGGUGCUCUGCUGCCGCAUGGCGCCCUUGCAGAAGGCUCAGAUUGUUAAAUUAAUCAAAUUUUCAAAAGAGCACCCAAUCACGUUAGCAAUUGGCGAUGGUGCAAAUGAUGUCAGCAUGAUUCUGGAAGCGCACGUGGGCAUAGGUGAGCUUCGUCCUUGCUGCUGGCACAUCCUGGUGGCCAGGUCACCCCUUCGCUAGACAAAGGCCCAUGGCAGCACGCAGGUGCAUUCAGGACACCCCCGUCACCACCCUCGUGUGUGACCGGGAAGGCUCAUGAUGAUGGUUUCAUCCGUUCUUCUCCCCGUCCCUGCCCUGUGUGUGGUGUGCAGAAAGCAUUUCUUCAGCCCCUUCACCUCCGUCUUCUAGGUGUCAUCGGCAAGGAAGGCCGCCAGGCUGCCAGGAACAGCGACUAUGCAAUCCCAAAGUUUAAGCAUUUGAAGAAGAUGCUGCUUGUUCACGGGCAUUUUUAUUACAUUAGGAUAUCUGAGCUCGUGCAGUACUUCUUUUAUAAGGUAGGAGGAUCGCCGCUCCCCCUCACGGUUUUAGCAGCAGGUCACGCACAGGGUGGCACGACCUUUGUCUGAGCCACUUGAUGCCACAAGAGGUCAUUGAUCUCCGAGUAGCAGCAACUGUCAGAAAGGAAGGGGUGAAUCUGAUUGCAGUCAUCUCCUGCUUAGCUGUGACUUUGCUUUUUACCGUUUCCAUUACCUACAGUCAACCCAUGCCCAAAAAUAUCAAACGCAAAAUUGCAGAAAUAAACAGUUCCUCAGGUUUAAAUUGCAUGCCAUUCCGAGCAGCGUGAUGAAGUCUCACGCCGUCCUGCUGUCUCCUUCCUGGGAUGUGGCUUGUCCCUUUGUCCGGUGUGCCGAUGCUGUGUGUACACUACCUGCCCCUCAGUCACUCUGUAGCUGUCUUGGUGAUGAGGUUGACAGAUCACAAGAAGAAGGGUGAAUAUGACACAAUAAUAUAUUUUUAGAGGAGGAGGGAGAGACCAAAUUCAUGUAACUUUGAUUACGGUAUAUUAUUAUAGUUAUUCUAUGUUUUGUUGUUACUCUUUUACUGCACCUACUUUAUAAAUUAAACUUUAUCAUGGGUGUGAAUGUGUACGAACACACAUACCCAUCUAGAGCAUAGACAGGGUUCAGGACCAUCCGCAGAUUCUGCAUCCCCCCAGGAUGUACCCCUGAGGAUGAGGAGGGCCUGCCGUGCCGUGGGAGGAGACCCCCAGCCCUUUUCUCCCCCCACAGAAUUGAGUGUGGAACCAGUGAGAACCUUUCAGGUGGAAAUGUUUGAGGAAGGGUAUUUUAGAAUUCCUUAUUCACUGUGCAGUUCGAUUCUUUCCCGUUUAUACUGAUACCUGCAUUGCCUUCUUGUUUCUCUUGGAGCUGACAAAUUUCCCCUAUACGUUGUCUGUCCUGAGUGGCCAAAACGUGGUCACAUGUGCAUUUCAGUUGCCCCUGAAAUAAGAGAAAGCUUUCUAGAACCCAUUAGUGCUGUUCUGCCGCACGCUGGGUGCACGUGGAUCCCUCCUCCCAUGUGGGGUGGGCCACGUUGGUAGGUGGCGGCUGCCUCCCUCUGUCCCGUCACCGAACUAACAGUUCUGCCUUGCCUUUCAGAACGUCUGCUUCAUCUUCCCUCAGUUUUUAUACCAGUUCUUCUGUGGGUUUUCACAACAGACUUUGUACGACACCGCGUAUCUGACCCUCUACAACAUCAGCUUCACCUCCCUCCCCAUCCUCCUGUACAGCCUCAUGGAGCAGCAUGUUGGCAUCGACGUGCUCAAGAGAGACCCGACCCUGUACAGGUACCAUCCUCCAAACAGCCUCUCCUGAGAGCAGAGAGAAUAACUAGGCAGCAUUCUGGCAGUUCCUUCCAAUAGCCACCUGGCAGACCCCAGUUGAGGGCCAGAAGCAUUCGGCAUCUGCUGAUACUCUUGCUUGAUCAGGAGCUUGUUUAAACUGGAAGCAACAUAGCUCAAAUGGAGAUUCUUCAAGUCUUGCUGGAUGGUUUACGCUGCAUUUGGAACGUCUGUGUGGAGCCAGUUUGCACUUUCCUGUGCUUUCUGACAGUCCUGAGGGAGCUGGGGUACAAGCGUCUUCCUCGUUGUGACCCUAGGGAAUCUGUGGCCUAAGUUAUCCUUUAAAACCAUGUGUGUUCCAUUCAGUGAGAAAAAACAAAAAUUAACACC